UUUCAGCUGAGUACCUCUCUGACCCAGAGGAAGGACAUAAAAAGGAGGUCACAGCUGGUUUAAGAGUUUACAGGGAGAGGAGCACGCUGCCAGCUCUGUUGGUGAGGAGAGCCUAACUGCAGGAGGUGAAAUGGCUGUUUUGGCCAUGGGAAAGGACUAGACCCUGCUUUUGGGGUGAAAAGCCAUACCAGGAGGACAGCAGGGCAUGAAUCUGUUGGGAAGGGCAGCCCUUGCUGCAGACUCCAAGGGAAAAUGAUGUGACCAAGGCUGCAGGCUGCCCGGCAGCAGGCUCUCCACGAAGUGCCGCAGGUUCUCGCGCAGGACGGCGCUGUGGAAGAAGUGCUUCCAGUUCCUGAGCGACCUCCUUCCAGACAGGCUCGAUGUGGAUGCAGCUGAAGCACCAGUCCGAGGUGAUUUUAAUGAGG